UAACCAGAAACAAGUCUCUGUGCUGGAGGGG
rnacentral:piRNA from 1 species